UACGUAGGCAGCAAGCGUUGUUCGGAGUUACUGGGCGUAAAGGGUGUGUAGGCGGUUAUUUAAGUUUGGUGUGAAAUCUCCCGGCUCAACCGGGAGGGUGCGCCGAAUACUGAAUGACUUGGAGUGCGGGAGAGGAAAGUGGAAUUCCUGGUGUAGCGGUGAAAUGCGUAGAUAUCAGGAGGAACACCGGUGGUGUAGACGGCUUUCUGGACCGUAACUGACGCUGAGGCGCGAAAGCGUGGGGAGCAAACGGG
rnacentral:rRNA from 1 species